rnacentral:rRNA from 1 species
UCCGGUUCACUUUAACACUGAGGCGUGACGACGAGGCACUACGGUGCUGAAGCAACAAAUGCCCUGCUUCCAGGAAAAGCCUCUAAGCAUCAGGUAACAUCAAAUCGUACCCCAAACCGACACAGGUGGUCAGGUAGAGAAUACCAAGGCGCUUGAGAGAACUCGGGUGAAGGAACUAGGCAAAAUGGUGCCGUAACUUCGGGAGAAGGCACGCUGACACGUAGGUGAAGUGAUUUACUCAUGGAGCUGAAGUCAGUCGAAGAUACCAGCUGGCUGCAACUGUUUAUUAAAAACACAGCACUGUGCAAACACGAAAGUGGACGUAUACGGUGUGACGCCUGCCCGGUGCCGGAAGGUUAAUUGAUGGGGUCAGCGCAAGCGAAGCUCCUGAUCGAAGCCCCGGUAAACGGCGGCCGUAACUAUAACGGUCCUAAGGUAGCGAAAUUCCUUGUCGGGUAAGUUCCGACCUGCACGAAUGGCGUAAUGAUGGCCAGGCUGUCUCCACCCGAGACUCAGUGAAAUUGAACUCGCUGUGAAGAUGCAGUGUACCCGCGGCAAGACGGAAAGACCCCGUGAACCUUUACUAUAGCUUGACACUGAACAUUGAGCCUUGAUGUGUAGGAUAGGUGGGAGGCUUUGAAGUGUGGACGCCAGUCUGCAUGGAGCCGACCUUGAAAUACCACCCUUUAAUGUUUGAUGUUCUAACGUGGACCCGUUACCCGGGUUGCGGACAGUGUCUGGUGGGUAGUUUGACUGGGGCGGUCUCCUCCUAAAGAGUAACGGAGGAGCACGAAGGUUGGCUAAUCCUGGUCGGACAUCAGGAGGUUAGUGCAAUGGCAUAAGCCAGCUUGACUGCGAGCGUGACGGCGCGAGCAGGUGCGAAAGCAGGUCAUAGUGAUCCGGUGGUUCUGAAUGGAAGGGCCAUCGCUCAACGGAUAAAAGGUACUCCGGGGAUAACAGGCUGAUACCGCCCAAGAGUUCAUAUCGACGGCGGUGUUUGGCACCUCGAUGUCGGCUCAUCACAUCCUGGGGCUGAAGUAGGUCCCAAGGGUAUGGCUGUUCGCCAUUUAAAGUGGUACGCGAGCUGGGUUUAGAACGUCGUGAGACAGUUCGGUCCCUAUCUGCCGUGGGCGCUGGAGAACUGAGGGGGGCUGCUCCUAGUACGAGAGGACCGGAGUGGACGCAUCACUGGUGUUCGGGUUGUCAUGCCAAUGGCACUGCCCGGUAGCUAAAUGCGGAAGAGAUAAGUGCUGAAAGCAUCUAAGCACGAAACUUGCCCCGAGAUGAGUUCUCCCUGAGACUUUAGGUCUCCUGAAGGAACGUUGAAGACGACGACGUUGAUAGGCCGGGUGUGUAAGCGCAGCGAUGCGUUGAGCUAACCGGUACUAAUGAACCGUGAGGCUUAACCUU